rnacentral:rRNA from 1 species
AGGACGAACGCUGGCGGCGUGCUUAACACAUGCAAGUCGAGCGAGGCCCGUCCUUCGGGACGGUGCCCUAGCGGCGAACGGGUGAGUAACACGUUGGCAACCUGCCCCUAGCACUGGGAUAACUCCGGGAAACCGGGGCUAAUACCGGAUAUGACCUCCGAGGGCAUCCUUGGUGGUGUAAAGGAUUCUGGCUAGGGAUGGGCCCGCGGCCUAUCAGCUUGUUGGUGGGGUAACGGCCUACCAAGGCGACGACGGGUA